rnacentral:lncRNA from 1 species
UCAGAUUGCCAGUGAGUUGUGUUUGUGCUGUUUAUGAAGGCAAGAGAAAUGAUUAUUGAAGGGGGUUAAAAGAUGAGGUCAUGCAUAUGAAAUCACGUGAUGCUAUUUUAGAGUGCUAAGUGCAUACCCCACCUUCUCAAACAAUGCCAAUAAUAGAUCAUAAUCAUAGCUUCCUACAUGUUAGUUCACGCAACUCAAUGGUAAGGUGUAACAGCCAACUAGUAUA